GAGAAAUUGUUCUUAACAUUUAGAAACUAAAUUGAAACACCACUUACAGAUGAAGAAGAGGGCCACCGAACUUACUUGAAUAACUAACUAUUAGGUAAAGGUUUUGGUUAUUGAUGAUGGUCGUACGGUGACUUCUAGUUCUUAUCAUCUACGUCAUUUCAACUAAUGGGAUGGUCUAGAUUUAAUAUAUGUUAAAAAUUAUCCCUGACUCUGUGUGUAAUCUCAAGUUUUGGCUUGGGCAAUAUUAGAGGCUAUAUUAUAAAUGAUAAGUGUAAAUAAUUAAAUAAGGUCAAGAGUUUUAUUAAGC
rnacentral:lncRNA from 1 species